rnacentral:lncRNA from 1 species
GUCGAGAUGACCCCGGUUGAGGUUGUCGGCGAUCCAGCUCGUCCCUCCGCCCCUCCUCGUCGCGCCGUCGAUGACCGAGAUGAGGAAGCUGCUGAUGAAGCUGCCGACGCCGAGGACGCUGAGGUAGAGCGCGAGCCCGAGGCUCUUGAGCUCCACGGGCAUCUGGUCGUAGAAGAACUCCUGCAUGCCGACCAUGGUGAACACGUCCGCCGCGCCCAGGAGCACGUACUGCGGCAUGAUCCACCACAGGCUCAUGGGCACCACCGCGCCGGGCAGGUCCACCACGCCGGCGUCCACCGCGGUGCUCAGCCGCCUCAUCUCCACCAGCGCGGCGACCACCAGCGCGGCCACGGCCAGGACCAUUCCCGUGCCGAUCCGCUGGAGCAUGGUGAUACCCAAGGGGGCGCCGGAGAGCCUGCGCGCCACGGGCACCAGGACGCGGUCGUAGAGCGCGACGCAGGUGAUCAUGCUGAUGCCCAUGAAGCACUGCAACGCCGCGGGCGGUAUCUGGAACCCCGACGACCCGACCCGACCCUCCGGUCCAUCGUCGCCGCCUGCUUCGUGAACAGCGUCGGCGGCUGAGCGAACACCACGCCGUAGAGCAGGCACGUCGCCCAUAUCGGGAACAGCCUCGCCAAGCCCCUCACCUCCUCCACGAUGGUAGCGUCCUCCUCGCGGUCGCCAUGCCUGUGCUCUCCGCCUUCCGGCGAUCUCUUUCUCGACGCCCUGAAGGCCUCCACGACACGGGUGAACACGCCGGCGCCCUUGCCGUCGGCCGAGUCGUCGUAGAACCGGUACGUCUUGGUGCCAAGCAGGAAGACGGCGAGCGCCAGCACCAUGACCACGCACGGCACCCCGAAGCCGAUGCCCCAGCUCACGUUGUCCUGGACGUAGCUCAUGAGCGCGAUGGUCACCGUCGCGCUGCCGCAGAUCCCGAAGUACCACCAGUUGAAGAAGGAGCCCCGGGCCAGCGACUCCGCGGGGUCCGUCGCGUCGAACUGGUCGGCGCCGAAGGCCUGCACGCAGGGCUUGUGGCCGCUCUGCGCAAUGGCUACCAGGUAGAGCGAGACGUAGAAGAAGGCCGUCUGCAGGGAGGAACGCGGGCAUGCCUCCCGGCCGUCCGCGGUGAGCUUGCAUUGUUGGCUCGGUGACAAGAACAUGGACGAGAGCGCCAGCAUCCCGAGGCCCUGCAGAUUUUUCAGCUUGGUUGAGAAGAACAGAAACCAGCAACCCUUGUGAUGGUUCAAAUUUAAAAGCUUUAGGGAUACUACUGAAGCAUGAAUCAUACACGAAUUUUGCAUGUGUGGAUACAAUUUCUCCAAAAUAACCACACAAUUUCAUCGUUCAACAUAUGGACCGCACAGAGGGUGCUCGAAUUUUAUGAAACCAUCCUUUAAUAUAUAAUGGGCAGAUGCCAGAUGGGAGGAAUCUGAAUGAAAAGAAGAGCAUGGAUUUGGUGAAACUAAACUACAAAACAUGUCCGAACCAAAUGGGUUAUGUAUUCCCUCCGUCCGAAAAAACUUGUCCGAACCUUGUUUCUCGAAUGGAUGUAUCUAGAUACAUCUAUUUGAAGGACAAGCUUUUUCGAACGGAGAGAAUAUAAUUUAAUCAAAACAAAUUCUGAAAUUUCAGAAACUUCAUUGGAACCAAAUAAUCUAUGAAACACAUGUACAAUCCUCUCUGCAGGACUUCUUUGAUGCAGAGAGGAUUGAUGCUAUGAUGGAUACGGUGUUUAUUGCGACCAAAGGUACAUGGGAUUGUCCUCUUCGGAUGAAGGACACGAGUAUGCUGCACACCCGUUGCGCGAGAACGUAUCUGGUGCAGGCCGAAAUCACUAUUCUGACCCUUUGAACGAACUUUGUCACAGAAUGAACUCGACGUGAAAGUAUUUCACGAUCUGACUCUUUUAGCAACGCCAUAGCCCGCGACGUUUCUGCCCAACAUAGAAACGCCGAGGUAGCUAGCGUUUCUGAUCAAAGAAGAAACGCCGAGGUAGCUAGCGUUGCGGACCAGGUAAGAAACGCCAAAGGAGCUGGCGUUUCUGGCCAUCAUAGAAACGCCAAGGAUCCAUGGCGUUGCUGCCCUCUUUAGUCAUAAUUAAUUAGCCUUAUUAAUUAGGAUGUUCAUCCAUAUUCCACAUCAUAUGAAAAAGGGCAGCAACGCCAUGGUCAUUGGCGUUUCAAUGAUGGGCAGCAACGCCAGCGCCUUCGGCGUUUCUUACCUGGUCCGCAACGCUAGCUACCUCGGCGUUUCUUCUUUGAUCAGAAACGCUAGCUACCUCGGCGUUUCUAUGUUGGGCAGAAAGGUCGCAGGCUGUGGCGUUGCUAAAAGGGUCAGAUCGUGAAAUACUUUCACGUCAAGUUCAUUUUAUGACAAAGUUCGUUCAAAGGGUCAGAAUAAUAAAAAAGGCCUCUGGUGCACCGGUAGCACCACUGGUGCACCGGUAGCACCACCGGUGCACCGGACACAUUAGCACAUUUUAGAAUGUCUUAAAAAAGCUCAAGAAUCUAGCACAUUGGCAUAACAUCAAUGUAUGUUGUCAUAAAAAUUCAUAUCAAAAUUCAAAACAUUGCUUGAGAUACAAAAAGGAUAAUUUUGACAUCAAUGUGAUAAUGGGCCAAAUCUAAAGCCCAACUUGUGUUAUAUACUAUUCUGUGUCGAAUUUGUCAUUUUUAAGGUAUGUUUUGAAUUUUGAUACGAAAUUUGAUGACAACAUACAUUGAUGUUAUGCUAAUGUGUUAUAUCUUUUUUCAGAUUUUUGAUACAUUUAAAAAUGUGCUAAGGAAGUUCGAUGCACCAGUAGCAUCAAAUGGCCCGGUGCACCGGUAGCAUCAAAUGGCCUAGUGCACUAGAUACAUUCUUCCCGUUACGCAACCAGUUCAGCAAUUGCUUGUUCUGCAAAAGUCAGACGGUUUAGGCACCGGGGCAGCCGGUGGCUCUGCUGCCUGAUGCGGCGCUUGCGGCAGUGUAGGCUUCUUCGACUAUUGUUCAGGACAAAGGGAGAGAGAAUUCAGAGGUGGUGCCGCUUGAGGGAGUGGCUUCUUCGACUAUUGUUCAGGACAAAGGGAGAGUGAAUUCAGAGGUGGACCAAUCAAGUGAGGUGGUGAUAAAAAGGAAAAAACAUAUUGUUUCCGUUGUGGGGGAGGUUGGUCACUUUGUAGUCGACUGUAAUGCCGAGUUGUGUGAUAAUUGCUUGAAGCCGUGUCAUAAAACUGAUGUCUGGCUACUUCUCACGAUGCUUAAAACAGUGGUUACGACUUAUGGGCGUGCAGCUCUAAAUUGAUGUUCUUCGAAACCCAUGUUCGUGUUCCAACUCAAGCAGGCGAUGCCUUGAAAGCACGAGGAUUGGGCUUGUGCAUGUAUCAGGAGGUUCUCUCUCGGAGGAGCAAGUGUUGCAGCAACUUAAGAAACUUGUUCCGGCGGAGUUUCGUUGGACUCUUGUGUUGAUAGAAGAAAAUGUCUUUAAGGUGGACUUCACAAGGAAGGAAGAUCGGGCUCGUCUCAUGGUGUUUAUAGUAUUUGUGAGGUACCGGACAAUACAUGUUUUCUCGAAUUCGAGGAGUGGUCUAGCCGUGAGCCUGAGGGUCUACCGCUGCAUGAGAUUUGGGUGAGGUUUCAUGGGGCUCCGUCUAGGCCACUGAAUGACUUUUAUGGGGUUUUGAAGGCGGGGAGUUUGGAUGAUGUUCCUGAGACACCAGCCGCGGCAGGGGCGUGGAUGGUGCCGAUCUCGUGGGGUUUGCUCCAGCACCAUCCACUCCCGCUCCACCUCCAAUGACACUCGCUCCACCUCCGGCCAACAAUCAAGUACAUGCGGUUGUGCAUAUUUUAUUUUAUUUUAGCGGUUAGUUUUUUUUGGCGGUUGCUACUCCGAAUUGAUUAGAUUGUGUAGAUUCAAUUGUGCACCGGAAGCAACAUGCAUGCCGGACUACCUAGUACCUAGUACUCCCUCCGUCCCAAAUAAGAUGCAGGCCGGACUAUCUAAUACUCCCUCCGUCCCAAAUUACUUGUUGUAGAAAUGGAUGUAUUUAAAAUUAAAAAUACAUUUAGAUACACCCAUUUCCGCGAUAAGCAUUCAAGAGGAUGGAGGGAGUACAUGGUUACGAUCAAACACUCAGAGAGUUUGAAGCGCUUGAUUAGGCUAGGCCGCUAUGGAACAUGGGGGCGGGUGCACUUUUAAAAAAGUUUCCGCGCUACUGCUUCACCUAAAAGGACGCAUAAAUAUAUUUUUGCGGCUCGGCACGAGCUAAAGCGCUAAAGAUGAUCUGGAAACCUCGAUCCGGUGAUGAUCAUGUGUUUCAAGAAAAAAAUAUAGUACGGUCUCAGAAAACAAAAGGUUUAUAGUUCAGCUCAGCAUUCUUUCUUGGAGGACCGGUUCAGCUGAUUUAUGAGCACAGCGACGUGGGGAGCAGUACGCGUGUGGCGUCUCCGCUUCCGCCGGAUCAAAACGAUGAGGCAUCGCUGUCAACGAUAAUAUUCUAGUAGGCAGUUGCGUCUAAACUGAUAAAACAAAAAAUGUUACUACUAUACGGUUCCAUGCGCCACUCGUGCGAGAUUUUUUGAACCAGUAAACGAUCUAACUGGACCCAAUUCAGAAGAACCACAGAAAAGUUGGACGACUGAACAGGAGGAAAAAGCUGUGUUCGACAUCGACGAACGAAUCAGAGGUGUUGUGCAGGGUUAGCUGACCGUGAUGUAGAGCACGGAGGAGGCGACGAUGGUGCGGUACCGCCCGAGCCACGAGUCGGCGACGGCGGCGCCGAGCAGCGGCAGCAUCGACGCGGCGCCCGACCACGCGUUGACGGCCGCGGCGGCGGCCGCCGUGCUCUCGCCGAGCGGGCCGGUGAGGUAGCUGAUGAGGUUGGAGGAGAUGCCGUAGUACGCGAACCGCUCCGCCACCUCCACCCCUUGAGUCGCCGUGGAAAGCAUGUAGCGCCCACCCCUGAUUAGCGAAUGAAUCGAGCCGAGAAAGCAAAGCUAGGGGGGAGCGAGAUCGUGGCAGGCUUACAGAUGAUGAACAGAGCCGACCUCCAGCCGCCGGUGGCGGGGCGGUGGCCGGCGCGAGGGAGGAGCGGCUCGGGGUCUGGCGCCAUGGGUAGCGGCCGGGGCGCUGUGUGUGUGAGGAGGAUGCGCGCGGUGGGCUGACAGGUGAUGGCUUGAAGACCUUGAGAAGGAGGUGUCGUGUUCUAAUGCAUAGCGAUCAGCGGUGGGGACGGGAUGGCGCGCCUGGUGAUUCUGUUUCUCGUGUUAUACAUUUUUUUUUUGAGGGGGGUUUCUCGUGUUAUACAUGGGCUUCAUGGAUCAAGAACCUAGGCUUACCUUCCAUUUUUUUUCUCUGAUCGGGGGCCCAUGAUUUUGGGGGGCCCUGUGCGGUCGGCCAGUUUGGCACCCCUCAUCGACGGGCCUGUAGACCAAUAUAUUGUCCACGUAAGAAGAAGCUACUUUGAGCUUAUGGGUAAAAUGAACCAUGCAAAUAUGUCAUGUUUAGGCUUUUGUAAACUUCAAUGUUUAUACUUUCAACCCCUUGAGCUAAGCGAGGAUGUCCGCGGGGAGAAGGAGGCCCCCCUGAAAAUACGAAUAUUUAGAGGAAGAUGGCGAGGAGGAGAAAAUACUGACAUAACAAGUUAACAACACAGAAAAAACGGAAAGUGAAACGCCUAGGAGAAGCUGGAGGAGGGAGAUCUAGAAGUAGUAGGGAGCUGCUCUGCCAAGCUCGCAAUGACCUUGGCAGAUUUUCUCGCCGGAGACUAGGCUCCCGUCAACCUCUGACCUCAGUUCAAACUAACCACCAUUCAAAACUGCGACACUUAUUUUUAAUGGAUGAAGUAGAUGGAACUGGAUCUUCUAACAUACACAAGGAUGUUAGAGAAGCUACAGUACCUAACUUUCUUUCUGUUAAUCCAUACAAUUAAGGCUAAAAUAAUUUAAAUUAAUUUUUAAAUUACAAAUCUAGUAUGCACAUUCAUAGUAAUUACAUACAAACAAGUUGACGGCGAGAUAAAAUUAAUUUUGGAUUUUUUAUAUAUACAAUAAUUACCAAAAUUAAAUAACUUGCUAAUAGUCUGUAACAUCCCUUCUUCAUUUUACACUAGACGAGCACUGUAGCACCUUGACUUCCCCUCUCUAAAGUUAGGGCGGUGGUCAGCGUACUCGUCUACUAUAACUUUACUGAUGCUGCUUGCAAUUGUACUGUAUACCUGGCCACAGAUCCAUUGUACAUAGACGGAUGUAUCAGUCUCGCUCAGUGAACAUUGACAAGCUUUCUCUUGUAAACGUAAGCCGCCGAGAAGUAGAGGAAAGCAAGAAGCUCCAGCGCGCUGAGAGCGGCAAGGAGCAUGUAGAAGUAAUCAAGAUGGCCCCUGUUGAGGUUGUCGGCGAACCAGCUCGUCCCGCCGCCCCUCCUCGUCAACCCGUCGAUGACCGAGAUGAGGAAGCUGCUGAUGAAGCUGCCGACGCCGAGGACGCUGAGGUAGAGCGCGAGCCCGAGGCUCUUGAGCUCGGCGGGCAUCUGGUCGUAGAAGAACUCCUGCAUGCCGACCAUGGCGAACACGUCCGCCGCGCCCAGGAGCACGUACUGCG